rnacentral:rRNA from 1 species
CUACGGGUCGCUCCAGUGGGGAAUAUUGGACAAUGGGCGCAAGCCUGAUCCAGCAAUGCCGCGUGAGUGAAGACGGCCUUAGGGUUGUAAAACUCUUUCGCUAGGGAGGAUAAUGACUGUACCUAGUAAAGAAGUCCCGGCUAACUCCGUGCCAGCAGCCGCGGUAAUACGGAGGGGACUAGCGUUGUUCGGAAUUACUGGGCGUAAAGAGUUCGUAGGCGGACUGACAAGUUAGAGGUGAAAUCCCAGGGCUCAACCCUGGAACUGCCUUUAAAACUGUCAGUCUAGAGACCGGAAGAGGUUAGGGGAAUACCUAGUGUAGAGGUGAAAUUCGUAGGUAUUAGGUGGAACACCAGUGGCGAAGGCGCCUAACUGGUCCGGUACUGACGCUGAGGAACGAAAGCGUGGGGAGCAAACAGGAUUAGAUACCCCUGUAGUC